UACGUAGGGUGCAAGCGUUAAUCGGAAUUACUGGGCGUAAAGCGUGCGCAGGCGGUUCGACAAGUCUGAUGUGAAAGCCCCGGGCUCAACCUGGGAAUGGCAUUGGAAACUGGCGAGCUAGAGUGUGGCAGAGGGGGGUGGAAUUCCGCGUGUAGCAGUGAAAUGCGUAGAGAUGCGGAGGAACACCGAUGGCGAAGGCAGCCCCCUGGGCUGACACUGACGCUCAGGCACGAAAGCGUGGGGAGCAAACAGG
rnacentral:rRNA from 1 species